rnacentral:rRNA from 1 species
AUAUCAAUAAGCGGAGGAAAAGAAACCAACAGGGAUUACCUCAGUAACGGCGAGUGAAGCGGUAACAGCUCAAAUUUGAAAUCUGCCGCAAGGCCGAGUUGUAAUUUGUAGAAGAUGCUUUGGGUAUGGCCCCGGUCUAAGUUCGUUGGAACACGACGUCAUAGAGGGUGAGAAUCCCGUAUGUGACUGGGUGCUUUUGCCUAUGUAAAGCUCUUUCGACGAGUCGAGUUGUUUGGGAAUGCAGCUCAAAAUGGGUGGUAUAUUUCAUCUAAAGCUAAAUAUUGGCCAGAGACCGAUAGCGCACAAGUAGAGUGAUCGAAAGAUGAAAAGCACUUUGGAAAGAGAGUUAAACAGUAC